rnacentral:rRNA from 1 species
UAGGGAAUCUUCGGCAAUGGACGAAAGUCUGACCGAGCAACGCCGCGUGAGUGAAGAAGGUUUUCGGAUCGUAAAACUCUGUUGUUAGAGAAGAACAAGGACGUUAGUAACUGAACGUCCCCUGACGGUAUCUAACCAGAAAGCCACGGCUAACUACGUGCCAGCAGCCGCGGUAAUACGUAGGUGGCAAGCGUUGUCCGGAUUUAUUGGGCGUAAAGCGAGCGCAGGCGGUUUCUUAAGUCUGAUGUGAAAGCCCCCGGCUCAACCGGGGAGGGUCAUUGGAAACUGGGAGACUGGAGUGCAGAAGAGGAGAGUGGAAUUCCAUGUGUAGCGGUGAAAUGCGUAGAUAUAUGGAGAAACACCAGUGGCGAAGGCGGCUCGCUGGUCUGUAACUGACGCUGAGGCUCGAAAGCGUGGGGAGCAAACAGG